CGUCUGCGCCAGUGAAAGACAUCCUUGUGAAGAAGUGCCCCUUUGCUCCUGUGGUUACCAAUACUGUUCCACAGUUUCCAAGGGUGAUGCUAUUAUAUUGCUGCAGCCACUCUAUGCACCCUAUUGAGUAAUUUAUUGGCCAAGUUCCUAACAGCGGAAAGGCCUGUCUAGAAUCCUGCUGAAUUUUAAAGUUUGACCACGAGUCCCUCUGAGCAAAGCAGAAUCUUUACAACCUGUAUGCAAAUGCCUUGUGACACUGAGAAGGCCAGAAGACAUUUCUCACUAUGCCUUUGAGAUGUGUCUGGCAGUCUGUAGAGAAGUGAAUCGUCUUGUGCUGAAAGCUGCAAGCAGCUGUCAGAGAUGCAGAGAAUAAGGACUGCCGUGAAAUUCUCCCACCUGUAUCCUUCUCCAGCCUGUACCCUCACUUCCUGAUGCUGAGUGGUGUCCCCAGCUUGGCCAUGAACUCUAUCUGCCUGUGGUACACUAGCAAGAUUGCAGGACCCCAGAUGGAUUCAGUCUGACGCUGUUCUUUAUUACCCAAUGGCACUGCCUGAACUCUGGAUGGAAAGGCUGUCAUCUUGCCUUUGGCCAGCAUCUUGCAGUUGCUACCAUACGCUGGCUGUUGCACACUCUCCUCUUCUGGGUGGCAAGGGUAAAUGAGAGGCCUUACUUCUUUUGACAUGCAAAAAAGAACAAAUGCCAUCCACUACAAUAUAUAAUUUCUGUGAGCGCAGUCACAGCCCCAGACUUAUUGAAAUAAGUUAUACUUGGUAUAAUUCAUUGGGGGCAGAGGGGGGAAGUUAUCAGCUACCAUGCCAACAGUCUUUGUAAAUACCAUUGGUUUUCAAUGAACUCUUUUUGACCCUCUGGUCUGAGGUUGCUGUUGUGUGAUGUACAUAAUUCUCUCAACACUGGUCCAUUACUUCUACUCAGGGCUGGGGGUCAAGCCUGUAGUGUAAAGUCAAAGAGAAUUAGCAGCCCUAUCAAUAACCAGCAGCAGGACUGCAGUCCAAAUGAUAGACCAUAAAAAUUCAAGGAAAGAUGAAUAAAAAGUGAGGAAACAUGCAUGUAUAUUCUAUAGUUUGAGCAGCUGCUGCGGACUAUCAACAUCAUCAGGAGAUCUCAGUGCAUUAGCAUAAAUUCAAAUGACAAAUGCACAGUGCUAUUCAGAGACUCAUUAAUUUGCAAUGGGUGCAGUGCUCAUGACAUAUUAGUGAAAAAUUCAAAUGUCUUUGUAGCAUUGUGAGUUUAGUUGUGGGACCUAAGUUGCUAAAAUGAAAACGUGUGCAAUUUUUUAGCAGUUUAUUAAAUUAUGAAGUGUGAUAACUAUAUCUGUGCGUUUUUUUAAGCAGAUGAGGUCCAGCGUGCUCCAGCACCAAAUUGCACGGUUUGUGUUGAAAUCUCCUGUCAGACAAAAUCUGAGCUGGAGCUGAAAUACCAGCUAGGUACUGGCUGCUGCAGCAUGCAGGCUGAGAUCUCCCCCUUCUGGGUGAAUGGCAUUGCCACUGAGAAAAAAGGAAAAUUCACUUCUUUCAGGGCUUCUGCUUUUUAUUCCCCAGUCUUCUCUGCCACAUUAGCCACCGGUUGUUUUGCACAAUGAUUA